rnacentral:piRNA from 1 species
AGACAUCACAUGUGACAUUUACUC